UACGGGGGGAGCAAGCGUUGUUCGGAAUCACUGGGCGUAAAGGGAGUCUAGGCGGUUUGGUAAGUGGGAUGUGAAAUCCCCGGGCUCACCCCGGGACCUGCAUCCCAAACUGCUGAGCUUGAGUACAGGAGAGGGUGGGGGAAUUCCAGGUGUAGCGGUGAAAUGCGUAGAUAUCUGGAGGAACACCGGUGGCGAAGGCGGCGACCUGGGUAGAUACUGACGCUGAGGUGCGAAAGCGUGGGGAGCAAACAGG
rnacentral:rRNA from 1 species